rnacentral:rRNA from 1 species
UGCGCAGGCGGUUUUGUAAGUCAGAUGUGAAAGCCCCGGGCUCAACCUGGGAACUGCGUUUGAAACUACAAGGCUAGAGUGUAGCAGAGGGGGGUAGAAUUCCACGUGUAGCAGUGAAAUGCGUAGAGAUGUGGAGGAAUACCGAUGGCGAAGGCAGCCCCCUGGGUUAACACUGACGCUCAUGUACGAAAGCGUGGGGAGCAAACAGGAUUAGAUACCCUGGUAGUCCACGCCCUAAACGAUGUCAACUAGUUGUCGGGAGAGGAGACUUUCUUGGUAACGCAGCUAACGCGUGAAGUUGACCGCCUGGGGAGUACGGCCGCAAGGUUAAA